AUCCUGGCUCAGGAUGAACGCUGGCGGCGUGCCUAAUACAUGCAAGUCGAACGCACUAUUUCGGUAGUGAGUGGCGAACGGGUGAGUAACACGUAGGUAACCUACCCUUAAGACGAGGAUAACCAUUGGAAACGAUGGCUAAGACUGGAUAAGAUCAUUUGAGGCAUCUUGGAUGAUUUAAAAGACCUAGUAAUAGGUAUGCUUAAGGAGGGGCCUGCGGUGCAUUAGUUAGUUGGUGAGGUAACGGCUUACCAAGACCGUGAUGCAUAGCCGGACUGAGAGGUUGAACGGCCACAUUGGGACUGAGAAACGGCCCAAACUCCUACGGGAGGCAGCAGUAGGGAAUUUUCGGCAAUGGGGGAAACCCUGACCGAGCAACGCCGCGUGAACGAAGAAGUAUUUCGGUAUGUAAAGUUCUUUUAUUAGGGAAGAAAGGCACGUGGAAAAGCGUGAUUGACGGUACCUAAUGAAUAAGCCCCGGCUAACUAUGUGCCAGCAGCCGCGGUAAUACAUAGGGGGCAAGCGUUAUCCGGAAUUAUUGGGCGUAAAGGGUGCGUAGGCGGUUAUUUAAGUCUUUGGUGUAAGUGCAGUGCUUAACGCUGUGAUGCUAAAGAAACUGGAUGACUUGAGUUAGAUAGAGGCAAGUGGAAUUCCAUGUGUAGCGGUAAAAUGCGUAAAUAUAUGGAGGAACACCAGUGGCGAAGGCGGCUUGCUGGGUCUAUACUGACGCUGAGGCACGAAAGCGUGGGGA
rnacentral:rRNA from 1 species